GCGCUCGCUUCGGCAGCACAUAUACUAAAAUUGGAACGAUACAGAGAAGAUUAGCAUGGCCCCUGCGCAAGAGGCCUUCUUAAAAGAGAAAAAUCUCUUGGGCCU